AUUCCAGCUCCAAUAGCGUAUAUUAAAGUUGUUGCAGUUAAAACGCUCGUAGUCGGAUUUCGGGGCGGGCCGACCGGUCUGCCGAUGGGUAUGCACUGGCCGGCGCGUCCUUCCACCCGGAGACCGCGCCUACUCUUAACUGAGCGGGCGCGGGAGACGGGUCUUUUACUUUGAAAAAAUCAGAGUGUUUCAAGCAGGCAGUCGCUCUUGCAUGGAUUAGCAUGGGAUAAUGAAAUAGGACUCUGGUGCUAUUUUGUUGGUUUCGAACACCGAAGUAAUGAUUAAUAGGGACAGUUGGGGGCAUUCAUAUUCCAUUGUCAGAGGUGAAAUUCUUGGAUUGACGGAAGAUGAACUUCUGCGAAAGCAUCUGCCAAGGAUGUUUUCAUUA
rnacentral:rRNA from 1 species